rnacentral:rRNA from 1 species
UUAAUGGAGAGUUUGAUCCUGGCUCAGGACGAACGCUGGCGGCGUGCCUAAUACAUGCAAGUCGAGCGAGGGUCUUCGGACCCUAGCGGCGGACGGGUGAGUAACAC